rnacentral:rRNA from 1 species
AACGAACGCUGGCGGCAUGCCUAACACAUGCAAGUCGAACGAGACCUUCGGGUCUAGUGGCGCACGGGUACGUAACGCGUGGGAACCUGCCCUUAGGUUCGGAAUAACUCCCCGAAAGGGGUGCUAAUACCGGAUAAUGUCUUCGGACCAAAGAUUUAUCGCCUUUGGAUGGGCCCGCGUUGGAUUAGCUAGUUGGUAGGGUAAAAGCCUACCAAGGCGACGAUCCAUAGCUGGUCUGAGAGGAUGCUCAGCCACACUGGGACUGAGACCCGGCCCAGACUCCUACGGGAAGCAGCAGUGGGGAAUAUUGGACAAUGGGCGAAAGCCUGAUCCAGCAAUGCCGCGUGAGUGAUGAAGGCCUUAGGGUUGUAAAGCUCUUUUACCCGGGAUGAUAAUGACAGUACCGGGAGAAUAAGCUCCGGCUAACUCCGUG